CGAACGGGCCUCCCAUAUUCAACCUAGCAACCGUCUGCAGAGGCUGAGCAGCCAGCCCAGUAAACGUACCCGAAGAAGUGUACAAAGGUGCAGAGUCAGCAAUGAGGCCAUCGGGCACGGACACAACCUCGAUGGCGUUGACAUACGCAAUCGAAUUACUCGAAGGGGAAAACGUGAUCACGAGAUCCCCCUUCCCCACAUUAACACUAUAUUCCCUAACAAUGGCAUCCUUAGGGGUGAAAUCACUAAGCAGAGUAGUCUUCUGAGAGAAAACAGAGAAUCUAGCAGACUUCAUAUCAUAAUUAGGGAAAUCAAAAGGGAAGAAAUGCAGGCGGAUCCAAUGCCUACCCCCCUCUUUAAUCGGAAACGUAUACCUAGAAGGCCCAUUGAAAAUUCUUGCAGUUCUAAACAAAGGGGAAUCAUCAGCUCUAGUUAUCGAAUUCAGAUUGCUAUCAGCCAAUAUUUCUUGAGGGGUUGAGAGAUAUUUCGCAGCAGAUUUAUCAGCAACAAAAGUAAUAUCACCCGUUGGUAAUGUUUUGAAACAUUACCCACGGUAUGUAUAAAAGUAAUAUUAUUUUUACUUGUUAGAACUUGUAAUUUUAUAUAUUUUAUCAAAUAAUCAUUGUUGUAAAAUAAAGUAACUGUUGAUGUGAUGAAAAAUAAUGUUUCAAAACUGUUACAUCUGUCCACGAUAAUUGUUACUUUUAUUCAUGAGAAUUUAUAUGUUUAGUUAUUUUCUCAAAUAAUUAUUAUUGUAAAAAAAAUUAUUUAUAUGAAAAAAAAUAAUGAAAUUUUUAUUCGUGAGAACUUGUAUUUUUAACAGAAAAAAGAAACGAAAAAAAAGAAGAAGAAGCUAAAAGUUAAAAGAAUAAAAAACGCAUAAAUGGCAUAAGAGAAAGAAAACAAAAAAAAGCUAAAGUAAAAUAAAAAUAAAAAUAAAAAUAAAAACGCAGAAAAAGAAAGCAAAAAGAAAAGGUAAAAUAAAAUGUGAGAAGUGGGUUUCGAACACUACAUCUUGUGGUUAAAAAUGAGAAGUCUUAACCACUGCACCAACAUCAAAUUUUAACAACGUUUACUAAGUUAUUUUAUUUAUCUGCUUCUUGCGGCCGCCCAUGCCCAACCCGUGCCCAACCCACAUACCCGCGCACUGACCCGACCCGACCCGUCUCAUAGUAUGAGGUCAACCUCACCCAAGACCAACUCGUUGUAUUUAUAUAACUGCAAAAGGCUAAGGCGUCUACCCUCUAUGGAUGCAAUGCAUGAAAAACAGAACCCCCACCAAAAUCAACAACACCGGCACUCCAACGCUCACGCCCACAAUAACCACCAAGUUCUUCUUCGAUUUAGGAAACGAUGGCAAAACAGAGGCCCCGGCAAGGCUGUCCUUGGCGUUUCUUAUCUUCAUAACCUCCAACCCGUUAAGAAAGGCAUCGGGGUAAGAACUCCUCGGAGACGGACCAAUGCUUACACUAACGCUAGCCCUAUCUAGCACCGGGGUGACAAAAUCAGCAAAGUAAGCAGUAGCCAACUUCCCAUUGAGCCUCAAAGAUAGUUCAAGAUCUUGAUAAAUGACAUACGUGUCAACGAAAACAUUAAACACGAGAUCAGUAGGCGAAGCACUCACAAUAUCGCAGAAGUGCAGCCGGACCACGUACUGAAAACCAGGAUCCACCGGGAUGUCCCAAGUGACGUUGAAAUUGCUCCUCGGAUCAUCAGCCGAGUUCAUCUUCGUGCAAGUCCCGUAGACAGUCUGUGGAGCAGCCUCUGGCGUUGCACCACCGCUAGGGUACUGGACAGCCGGGAUGUUGGAUUUGUCAGUAGCAAGAUUCGGCUGCUUCAAGUACGAGCUAUCCGGUUCCCAGUUACGCCCCAACGUGUCGUUCACCAACGACACGAACGGGCCUCCCAUAUUCAACCUCGCAACCGUCUGCAAAGGCUGAGCAGCCAGCCCAGUAAACGUGCCCGAAGAAGUGUACAAAGGUGCAGAAUCAGCAAUGAGGCCAUCAGCAAUGAGAGUGCAAGCCCAAUUACAAUAGAUCGUUCAAAAAUAUAAUUUCUAUAGGGAAACAUUGUAGAAUUAUAAUUUUUCUUAAAUGUGAAAAAUAUUUUUAAAUGUAAUAGGAGAUGUUAUGCAAUGCUAUAGGAUUGAGGAGUGGCCUAUUUUAUCUAGUUAAAUUGGAAUUUUGGGCAAGUAAAAAAAGCCCGCGUUUUGACUUUAGAUAUUUCUAGGCCCAAGCCCACC
rnacentral:lncRNA from 1 species